rnacentral:rRNA from 1 species
AGAGUUUGAUCAUGGCUCAGAUUGAACGCUGGCGGCAUGCCUUACACAUGCAAGUCGAACGGCAGCGGGGACUUCGGUCCGCCGGCGAGUGGCGAACGGGUGAGUAAUGUAUCGGAACGUACCUUUCAGUGGGGGAUAACGUAGCGAAAGUUACGCUAAUACCGCAUAUUCUGUGCGCAGGAAAGCAGGGGAUCGCAAGACCUUGCGCUGAUUGAGCGGCCGAUAUCAGAUUAGCUAGUUGGUGGGGUAAAGGCCUACCAAGGCGACGAUCUGUAGCGGGUCUGAGAGGAUGAUCCGCCACACUGGAACUGAGACACGGUCCAGACUCCUACGGGAGGCAGCAGUGGGGAAUUUUGGACAAUGGGCGCAAGCCUGAUCCAGCCAUGCCGCGUGAGUGAAGAAGGCCUUCGGGUUGUAAAGCUCUUUCGGUGGGGAAGAAAUUGCUUCGGUUAAUACCUGGAGUAGAUGACGGUACCCGCAUAAGAAGCACCGGCUAACUACGUG